rnacentral:lncRNA from 1 species
AAUGGAUGAUGUUGGUAAUGAUGUCAUUUAUGGAAAUAUCCCCAUUGUAAAUUGUGAAGUUAAGAUAAUUUUCAGCAUGUUUAGAGGCAUCAACACCAAAUUACAAUAUAAAAGUCUGAAUUUUGUCUCAUUUAACAAAUUAUGAUACACAACUCAUUAAAUGGCAAAAACAAGUGCUUAAAUGGUCACAACAUCGGGGGUAGUAGGUUGGGAUGGUUCGCAACUAGUUUGUCUCACUACUGUCUUCACUUAAAGGCUUGGCUAAGGUUGAUAAGCUCCAAGAAAUUGUGUUCAGAAAACUCAUAAAAGGCAAAA